rfam:Ictidomys tridecemlineatus contig027966, whole genome shotgun sequence.
GGGGAUAUCGCUUAGAGGUAGAGCACUUGCCCAGCAUGUAUGAGCCCUAGGUUCAAUCCCCAGUACUACCA